CAGUAGCCGCGGUAAUACGAAGGGGGCUAGCGUUGUUCGGAUUUACUGGGCGUAAAGCGCACGUAGGCGGUUUGUUAAGUCAGGGGUGAAAUCCCGGAGCUCAACUCCGGAACUGCCUUUGAUACUGGCAAGCUAGAGUCCGGAAGAGGUAAGUGGAACUCCUAGUGUAGAGGUGGAAUUCGUAGAUAUUAGGAAGAACACCAGUGGCGAAGGCGGCUUACUGGUCCGGAACUGACGCUGAGGUGCGAAAGCGUGGGGAGCAAACAGGAUUAGAUACCCCGGUAGUCCCUGUCUCUUAUAC
rnacentral:rRNA from 1 species